GUAGGGUCGCCGCUCAAUCACCGUCCUGGUGAACCGGGGAACCACUGAUGCGAAUGCGAGUUCACAUCCGGGGUGAAUCCCAUUGAACCCUGAGGUCUUCAGACUUCUGGGUUCACCGGGUAGGGCCAUCUUCCGGCCCGAAUCCGACAGCUAACCCGGUAGGCGGAUAGGGAAGAAACA
rnacentral:sRNA from 2 species